GACAGAGGUGCCAAGCGUUAGGCGGAAUCACUGGGCUUAAAGCGUGUGUAGGCGGAAUUGUAAGUACCUUGUGAAAUCCCACGGCUCAACCGUGGAACUGCUCGGUAUACUGCUUUUCUUGAGCCACUUAGGGGCUGUCGGAACAAACGGUGGAGCGGUGAAAUGCGUAGAUAUCGGGAGGAACACCUGUGGCGAAAGCGGCUCACUGGACCACAACUGACGCUGAGGCGCGAAAGCUAGGGGAGCAAACAGG
rnacentral:rRNA from 1 species